CAGCCGCCGCGGGAAAACGGAGGGUGCAAGCGUUAAUCGGAAUUACUGGGCGUAAAGCGCACGCAGGCGGUCUGACAAGUCAGAUGUGAAAUCCCCGGGCUUAACCUGGGAACUGCAUUUGAAACUGUUAGGCUGGAGUCUUGUAGAGGGGGGUGGAAUUCCAGGUGUAGCGGUGAAAUGCGUAGAGAUCUGGAGGAAUACCGGUGGCGAAGGCGGCCCCCUGGACAAAGACUGACGCUCAGGUGCGAAAGCGUGGGGAGCAAACAGGAUUAGAUACCCCUGUAGUCCCUGUCUCUUAUAC
rnacentral:rRNA from 1 species